UCGCGAAUCAUUCACAAUGGACGCAAGUCUGAUGAUGCCACGCCGCGUGCGGGAUGAAGGCCCUUUGGGUUGUAAACCGCUGUCAAGGGAGGGGAAACACCUAGUGUUAACAGCGCUAGGCUUGACUGCUCCCUAAAGGAAGCCCCGGCAAAACAUGUGCCAGCAGCCGCGGUAAUACAUGUGGGGGCAAGCGUUGUUCGGAAUUACUGGGCAUAAAGGGUGCGUAGGCGGUUUGUUAAGUCACUGGUGAAAGUUUGCGGCCCAACCGUAAAAUUGCCUGUGAUACUGGCGAACUUGAGUGCGUGAGGGGUAGGGGGAACGAGCAGUGUAGCGGUGAAAUGCGUAGAUAUUGCUCGGAAGGCCGGAGCCGAAGGGGCCCUACUGGUACGUAACUGACGCUGAGGCACGAAAGCGUGGGGAGCAAACAGGAUUAGAUACCCCAGUAGUCCCUGAGCGGGCUGGCAAGGCGCAU
rnacentral:rRNA from 1 species